rnacentral:lncRNA from 1 species
UGGUGGUCAAGUGGUCUAAGGAGUCAAACUACCAGAAGUCUGUCAACACUAAGGUUGAGUUCAAACCUUACAUGUGGCAGGUGUGUUCGACUCUGGUGGUCAAGUGGUCUAAGGAAUCAAACUACCAGAAGCCUGUCAACACUAAGGUUGAGUUCAAACCUUACAUGUGGCAGGUGUGUUCGACUCUGGUGGUCAAGUGGUCUAAGGAAUCAAACUACCAGAAGCCUGUCAACACUAAGGUUGAGUUCAAACCUUACAUGUGGCAGGUGUGUUCGACUAAAUUCGUAAUUGACUAGGAUUAUCAGGGUUUUUUUUACCAAGGAUUUUUGUGUUCCUUAACAAGUGUAAUGCAUGUAGUCAAAAGAACCACAAUAUUUUAUUUAAAAUUGAG